rnacentral:tRNA from 1 species
GCCUUUGUGGUGUAGUGGUCAGCACGCUCUAUUAAUUUUCAAGAGGUCCAUGGUUCAAGUCCUGGCGAAGGCA